CUUUGAACGCAAGGGGGUGUUGUCGGGGUGAAGCCCCGCCUCCUCCAUUUCCGAGGCUGUUUCUGGGGCCUCUGACAGACCUCAGCGUGUGAUGGGCUCCCGGCGUCGCACUGUGAGAGACCGAAGUCUGCAAGCAGAUUUCAACAAAAUCCAAGAUUCUUCCAGGAACAACAGCAAAACCACUCUCAAUGCAUUUGAAGAAAUAGAGGGCUGUCUUCCUUUCUCUGCCAUCGUGGUGUGUUCUUGACUCCGCUUCUCGCCAUGUCUUCUCACAAGACUUUCAGGAUUAAGCGAUUCCUGGCUGAGAAACAAAAGCAAAAUCGUCCCAUUCCCCAGUGGAUUCGGAUGAAAACUGGAAAUAAAAUCAGGUACAACUCCAAAAGGAGACAUUGGAGAAGAACCAAGCUGGGUCUGUAAGGAAUUGCACAUGAGAUGGCACACAUAUUUAUGCUGUCUGAAGGUCACGAUCAUGUUACCGUAUCAAGCUGCAAAUGUCACCACUAUCUGGAGAUUUCGACGUGUUUUCCUCUCUGAAUCUGUUAUGAACACGUUGGUUGGCUGGGUUCAGUAAUAAAUAUGUGAGGCCUUUCGUUUUAAAAAAAAAAAAAAAAAAAAAGAAAAAGAAAUAGAGGAGUUCCCGGAAACGUCGGUGUAGAAGCAGAACCCAGAGCUGGUGUGCGCGUGCGCUGUCUGGCGCUGCAGGCGGAGUCACCGACUCUGUGCAGAGAGGAUUCGAGGGAUGAUGGAGUCUGGCUCUGCUGGCCUAGAAGCAGAGUGCACCCUCAUGCUCAGUGCUCAGUGGGUGUCUGAACUGAGGGGCAGUUGUCAGUUUGUCUGAGUGGGAAACAUCCUGGAUUUUGUUACUUGGCAAAGAGUUGGUGUAAACCUACAGCCAGCAGCAGUCUGGAGCCUGGGAGCCUCCUGAAGUCCUGGGUGAAGCCUCUGGUUUUACCAAUUGCAGGUCGGCUUGGCUGGGAGAGAUGGGUGGCGGGGAAGGGGCAGGAACCUUGAGGAGGAGGGAGAGGAGUCUUUCCUCCUACAGCUUCCCCCUGUCAGCCCCAACCCCAGCCCACACAUUGUACCAUCUCUCCUGCUGUGACUGGGUUGCCUGAAUUUGUGGGAGACCCUUGAUUCCAUCCCAGAGUGUGCGGGGGACGGAGCUGAAGGGGAAGCUUGUGAGAGAGAAGCAUCUGCCAAGACUUCGAGCUUAUUUUUAUGUCCUCAUCCUCUGAUGUUCUCCUUCUGAAAUGACACGGAGUCAGUCUGGGGGGCAGAGGUGAAGUGGAGACGGAAGGAUUUUCCAGGUGACCGGGGCCAAAACCACCAGAACAUCCACUCUGCCGCCACUGUCUGGUGAAAGGAUUCAUGUAAAAAUGUUCGAGGUGGAAUUAUAAAAAUAGUAACCAUAAGUGUUAAUCUUAAAUAGCAGAAAUAGAAACUUGGCCUUCAGAUAACAUGGCGAUUGAUUAGUUCAUCUGGCUUGAGGCAAACUGAGGAGUCCGGGCCUAGCAGUGCCCUCUGGGCCGGUUUCUCUGCCCUGGGCCACUCUGUGUGCCAGACUAGCUGGACAGAUAGAGACUCUGUGCCCCUGAUGGGGCUGGCUGGGGAGAGGUGGGCUGGGGUGUGUGAGGCUUCACCAUCCACAGCAGCCCCUGCCCUCCCAGCUGACCCAGGGAGUAACCGCACGCUCUAAGCCACAGUGGUCGGGGCUGGGCGUGGACCGCUGGAGAAGAGAAGAUUUGAGGGGGACUGUCCUAGAGGCAGGAGGAGCGGAUGUGUUCCAGAAUGGGCAGAACUAGGAAACUGAGAAAGAUUUUGGCUCAAUAGAAUCCAGCAACUGCUCCACAUGUUGGAGAUGUGUAAGCAGAAGCUGGUCGAGCACUUAAUGAGGAAUGUUGUUGAAAAUGAUCAUUGGAAGAAGUUUAAGAUCUCUUUUAGCCUGGAGAUUGUACAAAUCAGCAUUCCACAUCUGGAGUUAGCGACCCGCAUUAAGCCUGAACAGACAUCUUGGUCUGAAAGGAAGUGGUUUGGAUUCAUGACGCCACGCUCUACACUAUGGAGCUGGGAAUUCCAGAAUUGCUUUGACUCAGAUAUUAAUGGAGAAAGUUAUAUCCAUUAGUGGAUAAAGCCAUAUCUGUUAUGGAUAAAGCCAUAUCCAGAACUGCUUUGACUCAGAUGUGAAUGGAUAAAGCCAAUUAUUGAUUUCUAUUUGCCUAACCUGCCAGCUUUUGUCCCAGCGGCGAAUGGAGAGCCACACGGAUGUUUGUCGUCUCCCACGUUUUGGUGAUCUGCUGUCUGUGGGUCUCGAUGGAAUUUGUUGGCAAGACCGUUUUCUGUAUUGGAUAUUCUUCCCAACAGUGUCCACCCCAAAAGGCUUUCAGCCGAAAGGUCUGAGCCUAGGUAGGUUUACCAAGGGAAGCCAUGAGUCAAGAAGCAUCAGAGUGAAAAGGAUCACUUCCUUUAUUUUACCCGCAGGGGCUAAUGCUCCGAGAGGAAUGUGUACUUGGGCAAGGUCAUACAGGAAGGUCAUAUCAGAGCUGUGCAGGCUGGAGUGUCCUGAUUCUUGGACCACAGAUGUCUCCCUGAGCCAUUAUUUAUUUAUUUUUGAAAAGCACAGUUAUUCCAUCAUUUUGAGUCUUUCUUUGUAGUUGGCUUACAUUGGGGGGCAGGACUGUUUUCUCAGGUGUCUCAUUUGGCAGUCAGCAUUGUCCCCUAUGUUCCCUAUGACUAGCUGAAAAUUCAAGUGUGCCCAUAGGGGUGCACAAAACCACACCCACACCCACACCCCCACACACAUACCCACACCCCAUUAAACCCAUGGGUCUAUCAGGACAUCUUAAAACUCCGUGAUUGGCCGGGCGCGGUGGCUCACGCUUGUAAUCCCAGCACUUUGGGAGGCCGAGGCAGGCAGAUCACGAGGUCAGGAGAUCGAGACCACGGUGAAACCCUGUCUCUACUAAAAAAAAAAAAUACAAAAAAAUUAGCCGGGCGUGGUGGCGGGCGCCUGUAGUCCCAGCUACUCGGAGAGGCUGAGGCAGGAGAAUGGCGUGAACCUGGGAGGCGGAGCUUGCAGUGAGCCGAGAUUGCGCUACUGCACUCCAGCCUGGGCGACAGAGCGAGACUCUGUCUCAAAAAAAAAAGAAAAAAAAGAAAAAAACAGACAACCCCAUCAAAAAGCAGGCAAAGGAUAUGAACAGACACUUCUCAAAAGAAGACAUUUAUGUGGCCAACAAACGUGAAAAAAAGCUCAUCAUCACUGGUCAUUAGAGAAAUGCAAAUCAAAACCACAGUGAGAUACCAUCUCACGCCAGUCAGAAUGGUGAUUAUUAAAAAGUCAGGAAACAACAGAUGCUGGCGAGGCUGUGGAGAAAUAGGAACACUUUUACACUGUUGGUGGGAAUGCAAACUAGUUCAACCAUUGCGGAAGACAGUAUGGCGAUUCCUCAAAGAUCCAGAAGCAGAAAUACCAUUUGACCCAGCAAUCCCAUUACUGAGUAUACACCCAAAGGAAUGUAAAUCAUUCUACUAUAAAGACACAUGCACACAUGUUUAUUGCAGCACUAUUUACAAUAGCAAAGACAUGGAACCAACCCAAAUGCCCAUCAAUGAAAGACUGGAUAAAGAAAAUAUGGCAUAUCUACACCAUGGACUACUACAUAGCCAUAAAAAGGAAAGAGAUCAUGCCCUUUGCAGGAACAUGGAUGAAGCUGGAAGCCAUCAUCCUCAGCAAACUAACACAGGAACAGAAAACCAAACACCACAUGUUCUCACUCAUAAGUGGAGUUGAACAUUGAGAACAUAUGGACACAGAGAGGGGAACAACAAACACCAGGGCCUGUUGGGGGGUAGGGGGUGAGGGGAGGGAACUUAGAGGAUGGAUCAAUAGGUGCAGCAAAACACCAUGGCACACGUAUACCUAUGUAACAAACCUGCAUGUUCUGUACCCGUAUCCCCCCCCUUUUCUUGGAAGAAAUAAAAAAAUAAGAGGGCUCUAUCCAUCAUGGCUGUUGGCUGUCAAAUUAUUUUGAGUGAAUAGAAACCCAUGGUUCCACCUGGAGAACAGAGGGUAUAAAUCCCUCCUGUCCACCACACAGGAUUUUCAGGAGGAGGCACUGACAGAAUGGAUAGGAAAGAGCUGACGUUGUUACUAUCAUUAUUACCGAUCAGCCUAACUCAUAGGUAUAUGCAGUUCUUCAUUCCUUUGAGUUAUUUCAUAAGGAUGGCUGUUCUCAACUUGAACGCCAAGUCUUGAAUGCUUGUCUUGAUGGGUUGUGGAACUUGCAACCGAUUUGUUAAUAAGUGAAAUACUGCAUUUGGUGAAUUAUUUACUUAAUUCAGAUGAUUCCCAGAAUAACUUCCUUCACUGGGAUGUAUCUUGUUGAGUGGCAACAAAACAAGGAUUGUAUGUGAUUCCCAUCCUAGCUUAAUAGGCGUUAGUCCAAAACCCAGGAAUGUGCCAUCCGUGGGGAUGUUUUGGGUGGAUGGGUAGAAAAAGGGUGGAAACCCUUGUCAUAGGAUAUAUUUCUGGGAAGGAGAUGCCUAGGUCAAUAGGUUUCAACAUUUUUAUGGUUCUUGAUACUGUGAAAAAUUACCUCCCCAAAGGAUUCCAUCAAUGUGUUCAGCCUUUGAGAUUGUAUGCUACACCGUUUACAGAGCUCUUUCGGUCAUGUUGGUUAUUGUUUUGUAGGUUUGGUGAGUGUCGUACCCCAGUUUAACAGGUAGGGAGAUCGAGACUUGGAGACAGACGGAAUGACAUGUGAAGUUCACAAUCCUUUUUCCUGGCCGGAGGAUCCAGGUUCUCUGAAGCUUAGUUGAGACUGAGCUAAAGUUAAUCUGCGGCGACGUUCUGGAUAUACUGGACAAACACCUCAUUCCAGCAGCUACCACUGGCAAGUCCAAGGUUUUCUAUUACGAAAUGUAGGUUCUAUACUAACAAUUAACAAGUGUACUUCAAUACAUUUAAACAUUCUCAGGAAUAAUUGGCUUUGUUUCUUUUUUUUCUUAGGCAUUUAAUAUUAUUUUCCUUAUUAAAUAUAACCAAAAAUCCCACAGAAAUUAACAAGAGGAGGAGCCUCUAAAUAUCAACAAAAUUAUCACUUGAUAGACUAGAAUUAAACAAGCAAAUGAUUCUAAGAAAUGGCACAAGUGUAUUCAUCAUAAAAUAAAAUUUCUACAUGAAACAUUCA